rnacentral:misc_RNA from 1 species
ACCUUGCGUUUGAGAUUGUAGCGAUGCCAAUCUGACUUGUAAUGGAGCUUUUGUUCGACAUCGCCAUGGAAUUCUUUAUUACAAGCGUUGCAAGUUAACCCUGGCAUUUCUUUUCUUCUUCUUCUUCGAUUUGAGUUUUAACUCCUAUUAGUCCCAACUGCGUGAAGAUGUUAUAAGGGAAGGAAAAUAUACGACGGUUCGUUGUCGUAGUCGUAGUCGGCGUCGGCGAGACGGUGGUAUUAUACUC